GUAGGGUGCGAGCGUUAAUCGGAAUUACUGGGCGUAAAGCGUGCGUAGGCGGUUGGCAAAGUCAGCUGUGAAAGCCCCGGGCUUAACCUGGGAAUGGCGGUUGAAACUAGUCGACUCGAAUCUGGCAGAGGGGGGGGGAAUUACUCGUGUAGCAGCGAAAUGNGUAGAGAUGUGGAGGAACACCGAUGGCGAAGGCAGCCCCCUGGGCUGAGAUUGACGCUCAGGCACGAAAGCGUGGGGAGCAAACAGGAUUAGAUACCCUGGUAGUCCACGCCCUAAACGAUGUCAACUAGGUGUUGGGAGCGCAAGUUCUCAGUACCGCAGCUAACGCGUGAAGUUGACCGCCUGGGGAGUACGGUCGCAAGAUUA
rnacentral:rRNA from 1 species